GGGGGUGACUGGUUUCGACUUGGAAACAAAGUACAAGUGGCAUGCGGAGGACGUCGGUUGGCCUCCUAAAUCAUCCGAUAUAACUAUAAAUGCAGAAAAAGAAACCUCUUACGGGGAAUAUUUGCAGGCUGCUUAAGGCUUAACCGCUUUUUGCAACUCGAUAGUCUAAUGCCUGACUAGGAGCGUUAGAACUAUUGUCAUUAAUCCUGGUAUGGGUUUUUCUCUUCGCUUCUUCAAGAAGAUGCCCGAGAUUAGAAGAAGCAAAUUGGUCUAUUGUGUGGCACCUUCCUCAAGAUCAAUUCAUUUUGAAGAUGCUAAGCAUGUAGUCAUUUGUAGAGAGUUUGCUAAGGACGAGAGUUCGAUUCUCUCCACCUCCAUUU
rnacentral:tmRNA from 1 species